AGCAUGCGGAUUAAUUCGAUGCAACGCGAAGAACCUUACCAAGGCUUGACAUACACCGGUAACGCCCAGAGAUGGGUGCCCCUUUGUGGUCGGUGGACAGGUGGUGCAUGGUUGUCGUCAGCUCGUGUCGUGAGAUGUUGGGUUAAGUCCCGCAACGAGCGCAACCCUCGUCCUAUGUUGCCAGCGGGUUAUGCCGGGGACUCAUGGGAGACUGCCGGGGUCAACUCGGAGGAAGGUGGGGAUGACGUCAAAUCAUCAUGCCCCUUAUGUCUUGGGCUUCACGCAUGCUACAAUGGCCGGUACAAAGGGCUGCGAUACCGCGAGGUGGAGCGAAUCCCAGAAAGCCGGUCUCAGUUCGGAUUGGGGUCUGCAACUCGACCCCAUGAAGUCGGAGUCGCUAGUAAUCGCAGAUCAGCAACGCUGCGGUGAAUACGUUCCCGGGCCUU
rnacentral:rRNA from 1 species